rnacentral:rRNA from 1 species
GACGAACGCCGGCGGCGUGCUUAACACAUGCAAGUCGAACGGAAAGGCCCUGCUUUUGUGGGGUGCUCGAGUGGCGAACGGGUGAGUAACACGUGAGUAACCAGCCCUUGACUUUGGGGUAACUUCAGGAAACUGGGGCUAAUACCGGAUAGGAGCUCCUGCUGCAUGGUGGGGGUUGGAAAGUUUCGGCGGUUGGGGAUGGACUCGCGGCUUAUCAGCUUGUUGGUGGGGUAGUGGCUUACCAAGGCUUUGACGGGUAGCCGGCCUGAGAGGGUGACCGGCCACAUUGGGACUGAGAUACGGCCCAGACUCCUACGGGAGGCAGCAGUGGGGAAUAUUGCACAAUGGGCGGAAGCCUGAUGCAGCAACGCCGCGUGCGGGAUGACGGCCUUCGGGUUGUAAACCGCUUUCGCCUGUGACGAAGCGUGAGUGACGGUAAUGGGUAAAGAAGCACCGGCUAACUACGUG